AACAUUUAUCUAUGUAUUCAGAAUCACACACAAGUUACCUUUACAGUUCAAUUUACUAUAUAGAAAUCAUUGGGUUUUAUAUUUGCAGUUAACUUUUGAACUGAGAUUACAAUAUUAUAACAAAAAACUUUACAUUAAUUCAGAACUUUUUAGCAUACCAAAUUGAAAUACAUAGGUUCAAAUUUCAGAUUUAUGGCAAACAGUCUUCAAAUACAAUACAGACAUUUCUUAAAAGUUACCGUAUCAUUCACAUGUGAUAUUUGCAACUCUGAGCUAUUUCUUAUAGAACAGCUCUCCUGCAGAUAUGGCAAAGUUGAUAUGCCAUGAAGUUCAAGGCCUGUAUAGUCAAGCCAAGGACUCAAAGUUGCACCAUCUUUAAAAAGGUUUGGCAUUUCUGGACCACAACAAUGCACAACAUGUAAAGAAGGUAGGAAACAGUUCCCCCUCCUUGUUAAAUGGUUAAAAAAAGUUACAUGGUAGCUUGGAAUUUUGCAUAAAACCCCAUAAUAUACCUUGGAAAAGUCCAAGGGCAAUUUGAUGGCAAUGGAUUGGGGCCCUAUAUAUAUAUAUUUUUAAUAGAACCCAUGAGAUUUAAAUGGGCAUUAAUCAAAUCAAAAAAUAUUAAGCACCUACUGGUUUAAGAGAUUUAAAUUUAUUAGAGAUUCAUGAUCAAUUUCUUUCCACCUCGAAAUCAAGGUGUAAAAACCAGCUAUUAAGUGCAUUCCAAACUUCUCCUAUGUAGCACAGGUAGAAUUUUCUGUCCAUUGGCACCAAAGUGAAGUCACAUUUCCUCUUGGGAGACAGAAAUUCCACACCUGAACACAGAGUAAGUUAGGAAAAAAUGACCCCUGUUGUUUAUUACUAUUGUGAUUCUGAGAUCUAGGAUUUCUAAUAUACUAGCAGUAAACAAAGCAAAUUCCUGGCAACAACUGUCAGGUUAGUGAUGCUAACUCCCUUCCCCCAACCACCAUAAAAUUUUAGUAAGAAAAGAAUUAAAAGUAAUGACUAAGCAGAACAAAUUGGAAAUAACAAGAAACUAAGGGGACAGUUCAAACCAACAACAAAAAAUCCUAAAUUUGAAAUCACUGCAACUGAAGAUAAUAAGUGUGCUUCACCCCAACCCCCAUCCCAACUCUGAAUUUAAACAUUCCGUGCAAAAGAGCAACAGGUUUCUGGAUAAAGAUGUAGCCCUUCUUUAAGUUUUAGUGCUCUGCAGUUUUCUGCAAUUUUAUUUCCCUCCCCCCAAGUUUAUUCAAAGUAUUUAACAGAAUCUUCCAUUUCAGCCAAAAGAUUGUGAUUCAAAGAUUUACUAAGGUACUCUAUGCAUUCUAUCUAUACAGAAACACCUAUUUAUUAUUACAGUUGAUUUAUGCAGGAUUAACAUUUUUGGUGUUAAAAUUGUUAAACAUCAUGCUUACUGCACAUCAACUCUCCAUAAUGAAUCUGAACUUCACAAUGAUUUACCAAACACUUUACUUAAAUUACUAAUUAAAUAAAUGAAAAAUGCACCGAGCCAAACAAAACUUAACUGGGCUAUAAAGAAAAAAACCCUUCAAAACAGUCCAUAUACACAUCUAUUUCAAAACUACCUUUGCUAGCUAGCCCCUUUCCCAAAGUUUUAGCCUGAAAAAACAGUAAAAUCUACACAAAAUUUUAUUGCAAUCAUACAAGGGUUACAUUAGGUCAACAAAUACUAUGAUGCAAUUUUACAUUUAUUAAACUACAGUUCAAAGCACAAAUUUACACAUUCUAAAUACACUAAACGUUAUCUAAUGAAGUCACACUGGUCUUCUAACAUUUGAUAUAUCUGGGUGAAAGACAUGAACUUUACAAGACUUUAAACACAAAUCCUUAGUAUAAAAACUGUGUUCUUGUAUGUAAACGAUUUAAUGGGGAACCCAAUUAAUGGGCUUCCAUCUCCACUAAGUCAUCCAUUUUGUUGCAUAUUUUAUUUUAAACGCUUAAGGGGUAGGACAAACUGGUAGGUUUAAAUCUGGAUACAUUAUCUAAAUCUCCCAUUAUCCCCAAUGAAUUAUAGAUGAAAGCUGAUUUUGUCUGGUCCCAAAUAGCUAUUACUAAUAGUUUUUGUUGCCAAAAGAAUUAAGAGAAUAAGAUUGUUUAAAUUAUUUUUCCACACUGGAAUGUUGACCAGACAAGCUUAACCUGCAACUUCAGAUCUAAAGAAGCGUUAAUGCCUGUUUAAGCUUCAGCGGAAAAGCUGUCUUCUUGGCUCAGCUGAAUGCAAGAAGGCACAAAGAAGAAGUUCUUCAUCAUUGAGUCUGAAGUAAUUCCAGCAUCUUGCAUCUCAUACCAAUCACUGAAUGACAUCAUGUAAUAAAUGGCUGGCCUCUGAAAAUCAUUAAAAGCAGAUGGUUCAUGGAAAGAAUCUGCUCCCAUGUUAUCAAAGAUAAGCCAAUCUCCCACAUUCAGCUCAGGAAGAAGACAGCUUUCCACAAUUUGAUCAAGCUCAUCACAGGAUGGACCCCAAAGGCUGCUUGUAAACAGAGGCUCAUCUUCCUUGUAUUUCUUGUGAACCUCUGGAAUGGUAUUUAAGUCCUCAGACAGUUUACUUGCAAAAGAACCAUAAACACCAUCAUUCAUAUAAUACAUGAAGGCUGGUUCAUCACUUCCGGUUUUUUCUACUCCAGAGGGAAAUUUAUCAUUUUCAACAACUUUCUUUGCUAUGAUAUUAACUGCGAGUGUAAAUGCAGAAGACACAUAGUAGCUUCCGGGUUCUGAAAUUAUCUUAACACCAGAUCCUUCAGGAAAGUAGAUAUCCAACAGAGGGCUGAUAACAUGAUUAACCUCUUCCAAUUGAAAUUCAGUUCCCGUGAAUCCUCCACCAAUGUCUAACAUGUUCAUCGUAAAGCCAAUUUCUCCAGCCAUGUCAAACACACAUCGAGCAUCAGAUAGAGCAUGUACAUAUACUUGAGAUUCUUUGCAAGCACUCGAAACAUGAAAUUUAACCCCAAUUAUUUGGACAUCAAGUUCCUUAGCACAUUCCAAGAGAUGCCUACAGUUCUUCAGGGUAGUGCCAAACUUCAUGUUACCCUCUUCACCUCCAAUAUUAUCUUCUGUUGCAAUAUGUAGUAAGACCUUGGCAUUUGGGUGAUUACGUGCAAUUUUCUUCAAUUCAAUUUCAUUGUCACAUGUCAGGAUAUUCACUCCAACUUUUGCUGCAUACUUUAUCUGAGACACUUGCUUGCAAGGACUUAUGUAAAUAAUGUUUUCUGGAGGUACACCCAACUCUUGCACUAAAGCCAUUUCAUUUUUACUGGAACAAGCAAAUCCGGUUCCAAGAGCUGCCAAAAUCUCAAGUACAGCUGGAGCAGAGUUGCACUUCACUGUGUAGAAUGGCUUUAUCUGAGCCACUACAUUCUGCCAUUGACUGUGUUUCUUCACAAUCUUUCCAAGAUCUCCCACAAAAAAUGCAUUUUUCCCUGUCAGGGUAUGUUCAUAAACAUAGUUAUCAAUAACAUUUCCAAGGUUUGUUCCUUCAUCCAACAGGCCAACGGAGUAGUUUGCAUCAUCAAUAAAUCCUUUCAUCUCAGCCGUAUUCCACAAAGCCGAAAGUCAUAAACCAGGAAAGACAAGAGACGGGCCACCAAGCCUAUGUCUGGGUCCUUAGAAUAUGCAACAAAAUGGACAAGUUGGGAGAUGGAACCCCCCUAUCAUCAGCUAGGUUCCCAAGGUGGCUCAGCGUUGAAGUCGAACUGCUCUCUAUACAGCACUUCUCCUAGGCCCUCUGGGUAGUUGUAUACUUGGUCAGAAAGUUCGCCGUGAGAUAACGGCCCAAAGAGUCGGGUAAAGCGUCUUCUCUUUUUCGGCGGAAUUUUUAAAGAGGGAUGUGGUUACCUUGAGCAGAAAUACCCAAGGCGGCCUGGGCCAUAGGCUGCGGGAACGACUUGGGGGUAAAAGCGCGGCACCGACACCAGCUGUGUGCAGCAGUGGCGGCGGCGGCCGAAGGAGAAAUAGAACAGCGCAGGCAAAAGAAGAAAGGCGCGGGCUGGGUGGGAAGAGGAUUCGGACUCGUCACACUGCAGAGCAGCAGAGCGAGAAAGGAUGAGAAGAGGCAGAGAAGGCGACGGCAGAAGAAAAAAGGAAAAAC
rnacentral:lncRNA from 1 species